rnacentral:rRNA from 1 species
CAGCAGCCACGGGAAUACAGAGGGUGCGAGCGUUAAUCGGAUUUACUGGGCGUAAAGCGUGCGUAGGCGGCUUCUUAAGUCGGAUGUGAAAUCCCUGAGCUUAACUUAGGAAUUGCAUUCGAUACUGGGAAGCUAGAGUAUGGGAGAGGAUGGUAGAAUUCCAGGUGUAGCGGUGAAAUGCGUAGAGAUCUGGAGGAAUACCGAUGGCGAAGGCAGCCAUCUGGCCUAAUACUGACGCUGAGGUACGAAAGCAUGGGGAGCAAACAGGAUUAGAUACCCCGUAGUCCCUGUCUCUUAUACA